GCCCACAUGGCGGAAUAGGUAGACGCUACGGACUUAAAAUCCGUUGGCCGCGAGGCCGUCCCAGUUCGAUUCUGGGUGUGGGUACCA
rnacentral:tRNA from 1 species